ACGCUAAGAGGUGGGAAAGGUACCCCACGCGCCCUAGCGGUUAACUAGCGGUUAACUAGCGGUUAAAAAGAGAUGCGGGACACGCCGACCCGCCUUAGCGU
rnacentral:ncRNA from 12 species